CACCAGCCCCUCGAGUGGUGGGGAUGAUUAUUUGGCCUAAAGCGUCCGUAGCCGGCCGGGUAAGUUUCCCGUUAAAUCCAGCGUCUCAAGCGUUGGACUGCGGGAAAUACUGCCUGGCUAGAGAGUGGGAGAGGUGUACGGUAUUCUGGGGGUAGGGGCGAAAUCCUUUGAUCCCCGGAGGACCACCAGUGGCGAAGGCUGUACACUAGAACACGUCUGACGGUCAGGGACGAAAGCUGGGGUAGCGAGCCGGAUUAGAUACCCGGGUAGUCCCAGCUGUAAACGAUGCAUGCUAGGUGUUGGGUUGGCCACGAGCCACCCCAGUGCCGCAGGGAAGCCGUUAAGCAUGCCGCCUGGGAAGUACGAUCGCAAGAUUGAAACUUAAAGGAAUUGGCGGGGGAGCACCACCAGGCGUGAAGCCUGCGGUUU
rnacentral:rRNA from 1 species